rnacentral:tmRNA from 1 species
GGGGAUGACUGGUUUUGACAGCGUGUAGAAGCGGCAAGUAAGCAUGCAGAGCUUUGAUGUGCAAGCUCUAUAAUCACAACGCAUCGACCUAUAAUUGGCGAAACUAACAACUACGCUCUCGCUGCGUGAUCUGAAGUACAGUAGGACACCUUUAUCCGCUCCACAGUGGUGCGGACGAGACAUCACCCCAUUGCCCUGUUCCGAGACGUUUGGAUAAGGUGGUGCUAAGAAAUUCGGAAAUAGGAAGCUGCCCGCCCCGUGCCGCUUCCGAGAUUUAGGGGAUAAGCUGCCGGUUGGUUGUCGUGAGCCUGCCGUCGGUCGAAAACCAAGUCAAUGACUAAGCAUGUAGAAAGCUUGUUGAUUCCGCGUUUGGACGAGGGUUCAAGUCCCUCCAUCUCCACA